CCUGGCUACGCAAAAAGGCCACGUGCGCGCGCUCCCCGCCCUUCCUUCCGCGCUCUUUGGGAGCCGGCUCCCUUUCGGGCUGCUGAGCGGCUACGCUUGGCUCCCCGUGGUUAGAAAACGCCGGGUUGGCUUGCCAAGUUUCAGCGAGGAGGUCGAUGCUAGAAAGCAGCUUCCUGGCGGAACGGAGCAAAAAUAAAGUUUUUAAUAUGGGGAGAGGCGGGGCAUCUUGGGGCCCUCAGAUUCUCCCUCUCUUAAUUGCUGAAAGCGGAAGGCGUUGUUUCUUCAUAUUUAAGCACACUAAAAGAAUAUUGCCCUGAUCAUGUGCGAUCAACACAGGAAUACAUGUUUACCCUGGGAGAAUAUCAUGUGAACACUGCCAAUACGGUAAAUCCCUAAGUAAGCCAGAGGAGCUUUCAACACAAAGGGGUUUCCUGCACCACUCUGGAUCAGUGCCAUUCUCCUCCAUCUCCAUGAUGCUGUUGGUCUUCUGCAGCUGAGCUAGUUAACUUGCUGACCAGCAGCUGUUCUAGGGGAAAUCCUGCAAAUACUGUAUUGAGGCAUUUCCUCUUGAGUUGCAGGGCAGGCAGCUUCCCUUUGGCAAAAACAUUCUCCUCAU